CCUACGGGAGGCAGCAGUAGGGAAUCUUCCGCAAUGGACGAAAGUCUGACGGAGCAACGCCGCGUGAGUGAUGAAGGUUUUCGGAUCGUAAAGCUCUGUUGUUAGGGAAGAACAAGUGCCGUUCGAAUAGGGCGGUACCUUGACGGUACCUAACCAGAAAGCCACGGCUAACUACGUGCCAGCAGCCGCGGUAAU
rnacentral:rRNA from 1 species